rnacentral:rRNA from 1 species
AUUGAACGCUGGCGGCAUGCUUUUCACAUGCAAGUCGAGCGGCAGCGCGGGGGCAACCCUGGCGGCGAGCGGCGAACGGGUGAGUAAUGCAUCGGAACGUAUCCUCGAGUGGGGGAUAGCCCAGCGAAAGUUGGGCUAAUACCGCAUGAGCUCUGAGGAGGAAAGCGGGGGACCUGCGAGGGCCUCGCGCUGGAGGAGCGGCCGAUGUCCGAUUAGCUAGUUGGUGGGGUAAAGGCUUACCAAGGCGACGAUCGGUAGCUGGUCUGAGAGGAUGAUCAGCCACACUGGGACUGAGACACGGCCCAGACUCCUACGGGAGGCAGCAGUGGGGAAUUUUGGACAAUGGGGGCAACCCUGAUCCAGCCAUGCCGCGUGAGUGAAGAAGGCCUUCGGGUUGUAAAGCUCUUUCGGACGGAACGAAAUGGGCGGGACUAAUACUCCUGUCUGAUGACGGUACCGUAAGAAGAAGCACCGGCUAACUACGU